CCGCGGUAAUACGUAGGCUCCAAGCGUUGUUCGGAAUUACUGGGCGUAAAGCGAGUGUAGGCGGUCCGUCAAGUUGGUUGUGAAAUCUCCUGGCUCAACUGGGAGGGUGCGACCAAAACUGACGGACUCGAGUCCGGGAGAGGAGAGUGGAAUUCCUGGUGUAGCGGUGAAAUGCGUAGAUAUCAGGAGGAACACCGGUGGUGAAGACGGCUCUCUGGACCGGUACUGACGCUGAGACUCGAAAGCGUGGGGAGCAAACAGG
rnacentral:rRNA from 1 species